rnacentral:lncRNA from 1 species
UAAAAAAUGGACAUUGAGUCGAGAUACAAUCUAUUUUUUUUAACUCUAAAUAUUUGCUCCAUAGUGAGACGGAACUGUACGAAUAUCGAGUUCCAGGAUAUAACCAUGGCAGGCGAUCGUGAAUUCCCUAUCGAACUAUAAACCCUAUCGAGAUGGAGACGUUGGAGAUAUCUGGUCAGGUUGACGCUUCCAUUCCUUCGGCUUGUUCUAUAUGUUAGUUGUGGUAUCUACCAUGAUGAUUGUUUCCUGCCUCUUUCCUAGGUUUUUGAUAGGUUUUCUCGUUUUUGUCUCUCUCUCUCUUUUUCUCAUUAUUUGUGACGCGGGAUUCCAGCUUUGAAAGUGUUUGAAUUGUACGCUGAAUUUUCUUUCCAUUUGUACUCAAACUCAAGAUAAGACAUCUUUUAUAAUUAUGCACU